ensembl:lncRNA
GGCGCUGCGGGAUGGGAGAGCGCUGUUCCCGUUCGCUUUUGCAAACGCUGUGAAAAGUUACAACUUCUCAUAACGGCGUUUUAUGUGAGCGCUGAAAUAUUUCGUAUCUGUUGGCUUCAGAAGUCGGUUAUGAGCUCUGCGGUUGCGGAUCUCAUUGAGAACGUCGCCGCUGACAUAGAACGGAGCGUUGCUUCCUGGUGUACCUUUUCCAGUCUUCCUGAUUUUUACGAGUUGUCCUUCUGCCAGGAGCUUCCUUAAUACUGUGUGAAGGAUUGCGGGUAGGGGGGGAAAAUAAAAGGAAAACAAAAUGCUUUAUUUCAGCUUAGGCCAGCUGUGAGGUGUUUUUACCCAAGCAUGCGUACAUGCAGUAUGCACACAUACUGGGUAAGUUCUCAGUUGCACAACAGGCAACGCAUUGAGAGCCGAGGUCAUACGUACGCCUUGCAUUUCUCUAACUGUACAUACGGAGCAGGAAGUUCUCUCCCUGAGCCUUUAGUUUUGUCGCAGAUGUACAGUGCAGCAGCUCACAGCAUCUGACAACUAUCUCAAUGCAGCCUUAAGCCUGGGUCCAUCUAGGGAUGCAUACAGAUCCGCUGUGCCACUGGAAGGUGUUCCUAUAGAAAACAAGCUGUUCAGGUAGAAGCAUUUUUACAAUGUUAUACCCGCAUCCACGCUGUGGAGCUGCACUGAAUUAGAUCUCAGCUCCUAUAACUUCCAUCUCUGAAGGUGGUUUAGGAUCGCGACGUGUCUUUGCUUUUUGUGUAGGAACUUCCUGGAUGACUGGAAAUUGUGGCUGAAAUAAUGUUUAGUUCCUAACUCACGGAUUACCGAACCUUUAGCGGUCAGUGCUUGUGCUGAAUUGGUACUAAGAACAAAAGGAAGCGUGCAUUUUCUUUCUUGUUGUGUAUGCUUAGCAGUACAGCGGCACGGUGACAGUCUUACUGACUUGGUGUCUGUCCUGAGCCUUCCACAGCCAGCAAGACCACAGCAAGCACAGGAUUUAUCACUUUCGAGUUGUUUUGUAUAAAAUAAACAUACUUCCAAGUGCCUGAAUUUAAGAACUGUAGAAAACCCAUCAGUAUCUCUAUUUCCCUGGAGCGUGAGGCCCCAGCAGGGGCAGUGUGACAGUGGUGUACAUCUAACGCAUGCCUGUCCCCAGAGCUAUGGGAGGAGGGAAGGUCAUCGUGGGUCUGUGCCGAGGGAGCACUCCUUCCAGAGGAUGCCCUUGGCAUGUAGCGUUCCCCUGAACAAUGUUUUGUGACUGUGACCUCCCCUCCAGUGUUAGGACUCACUGCAUCAGGUCUGGGUACCUCUGCCCUACUAAUACAAGCCCUUCAGGGGAAAGCAAGAGGCUGAAAUGAAACUGCAGGCUGUUUUGCACCCAGGACAAGACACUGCUCUUGUCUACCUGAGCAGAAGCAGUUCCUGUGUGUAAAUGCUGUGUUGGGGCCGUUCCAUGGCAGGACCAGCCUAUGUGAUGCCCUGUGGGGAGGCAUCAGGGGCACUACCAGGCAGGAUGAGGCUCAAGCAGCUGCUGGCUUCUUUCACACCACUCCUGUUCGGCAUCUACAGUCAGAAUGGUGCCUAAGUGGUUAAUAUCUGUGCUUCAGCCUUCCUACAGCCCUCUGUGAGAGAUGAGCAGCGAGACAGAGGAAAAUAAGUUGGGUGCCAAAGCAGCCUUGUAUUACAUGGAUAAGUCAGAAUACCAGUAAUGAUCAUGAGUCAUUACAUUUGUCAAACAAACGGCUCAAUGAAGACCCAUCAUGGUGUGUAUUUGGGCAGAAUUUUAUGAUUCAAAUUGGCUCAUUCAUGUAAUCCUGGACUAAAUGACCCAGACCAGGGACUGGGCCAACUCCUCUUCAUGCGCUACUAAGCAGCAACUACAGUGCAGAGGAUCUCUUUCCCCAAGCAAACAGUUUUGGCUAAUCUCAGUAUUACUGCAAAAAAAAAAGUGUUGCAGCUGUUAUAUAGCAAAGCCAUGAAGUAUAGCAACAUCCUUCAUACUGUGGGUUCUACUCAUCAGCUGACAGAGAGGUGUUCAAUAUAAUUAAUUGUAAUAAAGUCAAUGCAAGCUUAGUAAACUCUAAGUUAGUAGUAUGCAGUUCUAGAUUUCUUACUCUCGGAUUUGACCACAUAAAGAAUAUCUUGUUGAUUCAGGUCCAGGUUUCAAACAGUUUGAUGCAAGGUGUUUACUCUGAAGUGCUGUACAUCGCUCUAGGAGUGAGAAUGUGCAUCUAUAGAAGAAGGUAGCAAGUUUACCCACCUUUCAUUCAGAAUCAUUAAUCAGUCAUCAGUCGUGCUAAAUGCUGGUUGGCAAUGGGAAAUCCAGCUUUAGUGUCAGGAAAUUACAGUAGCGUCAAUACUCUGUAUCCUGUGCAUUAUAACUGUAACUAAGAAAAUGCAGUACCAAUCCUCUGCAUUUAAGCUGGUUUCAGAGACACUACUGGGAAAUGAAGAGUGGUUUCACAACAUGAUUUUAUCAUUUUGUAAUCAGAUCAGAGGCCAAUGAUAUGUGGUCAUCGCUGCACAGCAGAUGAGGUCAGAGUUCCUCCUCACUUGUGUAAGGUUAUCACCCUAAAUACCUCUAAUAGCCCUUUCUGAGAGGGAGGAAAAAUAGGUAUGAUUAAAGGAAAUCUUUAAGGAGUGUAUCCCCUAAUUUGUGGAGCUUUAAGGGCAUUAAGCGUGCAGUACCCAUUAAAAGCAGGGAGAACUAGAUGUCUAAAUCCUACCAAGCUGUGGAGGGGGGGAAAAAAAGAAAUAAAUAGAAGGAACGCCAAAUAGCAGAGUAGUUGUUACACAAAACACUUCAGUGCUCCCAGGGGGCUUGGUGAGAGAUGGGCCCUGGUGCUUAUUAUGAUAUCAGAACUCAGCAAUAGGCAAAGCAGGCUCUGGGCAUGACCUACUGCCCUCCCUUCUAUUACAGCAAGUAAGAUGCUGGGUUAAGACCGUCGAGAAACUACCAAAUAGAUAUGAAUAUGUCAAAAACUCAUAGAACGUAGGGAUCGAUUCUUUACCUCUUCCUUCGUUUGUCUCUUGUGAAAGCAACAAGUGCUGAAAGUACCCAGAGGCAGAAUAAGGAAUCUACUAUCCUUGUGGUUACAGAACUGCUCUAAAUGCAUGUUGAAAUACAGCUGAGCUAGAAUGAAAGAAAAAAUGAAAUGUGCUGUGAAAAACUGCCUAUACGCAUCUCCUCCUUUUCUGACUGAAGCAUGUUAUUCAUCAGCAAGUCACUUAUUAAAAACUGAGUGUAGUUCCUUGCAGCCAGUAAAAGACAAUAGACCAAAUGUUGCUGUUACACACAGCUGGAGCGUAUUGAUAAAAGCCGCACAUUGUCUUUCCUCACAUAGUUUAAAGUCUAAAUAAAGAUAUACGACCAAAAGAAUGAGUGCUCAGCAAGGUGGUGCAGAAAGGGCAAGAGGUGAACGAGCUGUAUCAGUAAGUUAUAAAAUGCAUCAGAGGAAUAAGGUGUUUCUGCUGGGUGCCUCAAGCUUAAAGGGGAGCGAAGGUUUGUGUAUGCGUUAUGGAAAUACGGGGUUUUCAGGGAUACAUUUGGAAAGAAAGGGGGCUAUAGUACCCCAAGAAAAUCUAUUCAGCGCAUUAAAACUGAGCUGAUGCUUAUGUGCGUGUUAUGGUUUUCUUCUUUUUUUACACACUGCAAACAACAGAGGAAAACAGAGAGGCUAUUGAUACUGUAACUGUCAUUUGACUGAACAUCUCACCAGCAAUGUAUCACUUCAACAAGUAUGUUCAUCUUUCAAGUUUAUCUUUUCCACCAUAUGUUUUGUAUAAAAAUAAGACUUGAGAACCUAUACAGUCUCCUUCAAAGUCCGGUGAAGCUCUCUACAAAGAGCUCCCCAUGACAUUUUUUUUUUCCAUUUCAACCAAAGCCUGAAAGAGGAAACUGGCAGCCUUUGGGAAGGUGAGCAGAAAAGCAAGCAAGGAUGUGGCUAAACACACUCCAAGAGAAAAAGGGGAAAAACAGCUCUCCCAGCUGCAUGGUAUUACAGAAUAACAGUUGUUACAUAUGGAAUUAUUUGGUGAUGGUGGACGUGAACAGGUAUUUUGGAGUAUGUCUGUGAAGAUCAGUUCUUGGUGGCUUUAGGACAAGAAGAAAUAGCAGAGGAGAAGGGAAAACAAAUGUGUGCUGAAGCAGGGAGCAGGUGGAAAGUAAAACAUAAGCAGAACUGCGGGGAGUUUUGAAGGACCAGCCGGGGGUUGCUCUGAGCCCCGGCCACCACCGUCCCUCAUAGACUGUCCUACUGCUGUAAAGCACACAGACAAAGUGCUUCCUGAGAUUUUAUCCUCCCACUUCAACUGUUUUUGAAGUUCUGUGAAUGGGAACUACAACUUCACUCGCUGGCAAAGGAACUCCACCUCGAAUAGCUGCUACAGUACAUCUUCUAAAAACAAUAACGGGGGUUUUUAUUACUCCUUUGUGGCAAAAUCCACAUCAGUAACCCCAGUACGGUGUCUGCAAACAAAACUCCAUUUUCUGUGACGUGUUAAAAACACAUCAAAUUAUGGCAACGCUCCAAUACAGUGCAAAAAAUGCAAUAAAUAUUCCCUUGAAGGGAAGGUGACAUUUUUUUCAGACUCAUUUUCCACUGCAAUCUCAGUGCCCCCUCAGCAGCCAUUAUCUGGGGCCAUAGAAAAUGCUUCUUGUUCCCUCUGACCUCACUGGGAGCAGAGUCAGAGAGUGACUGAGAGGGCUUUCAAUAAUGGAGCUGGAUUCGGAGGUGAAGACUGUAUGAACUGCUCCUCUGUAUCCUGAGAACAUCGAAACGCAGUGCAGCCCUAUUACUUAGUGAGGAUCUGCUCGUCGGGAAGUCACUGCGGGAAUAAUGAGGGGGGGAAGAACAAGAGGAGGAGGAAAAGGUGAGAAGAAAAGAGAGAGGGCGAGAGGGAGCAAAGAGGAAAAGGGGAUUUGCUUUUGAUGUCACACUUCUAUCAACUCAUGCAUUUUUCAUGGAUACCAACUAAUUCUGCAAUAACGCCGUGCUGACAAUCCAGGCACGAGAAAAAAUCAGCCCAGCUCCCACAUACCACCAUACUGGCUUAAAAGUGAAGAUACUUUGCAAAAUGAUCCAUUUUAUUGUUUAAUUCCCUUCUAAUUUGGGAGUUUCAGGUUCACGUAUUCAAGCUCUUCUCUCCAACUUGAGAUUCAGAAAUGUAAUUAUUUUCAUGUAAGCCGAGGUUCCAAUUUAAUCCCAUCUGCCGAAGAGUUUGAGCUGAAAACAAAGCGCAGUGUUGCAAAAUCUCACUGUAAUCAUAGGGGCUGCCAACAGUAAAUGUCACAACCGUGGCAUAUCGUAGGGUUUUGAUGCAAAACUAACUAAAAUUUAUGAGAUGUUAGGAGCGCUAAAAGUGCAUCCACUGAAGUUGCAUCUGUGCCAUUUGCUAGUAAUUAAUUACAAACUGAAAGUGAAGCCAACUGGCAAAUAAAAAUAAGCUGGUGGGAUUCGGAGCUAACCUGCGCUGUAGUUCAAGCUUCAUGUUUUGUAAACUUGAGGAGAGCGCUGGCAUUUCUCGGUGCUUUUGAUUAAAACCCGAUCACUUUUUAAACAAAGCAAUUCACGACUUCGAGUGUAAACAUUCUUUGAGGUUGCAGUCAUCCGGGCUACAGCAACGCCGAUCCUCGCAGGGAAGACAAACAGCCCCUGCACAGGUGCGGGAAGCAGCACAGCACCUUUACGUGCCCGAGCAGGGUUGAUGCUGAAGGCUCCUGCUUAGAUGUCAGCCCUCAGACACCGCCCACCUGCGUGGUUCUGGGGGGGUUCCGGCAGUAGUUCUCUACGUUGAUGUGUAAGCGCUGGAGCCCGCGGUGGGCUCUCCGCAUACGUCUCUAAGCCGGCUGUCACGUAAGAGAUCAGAAGUAGACUAACGUCCCUGGUUUAAUUACGUAUGGAAAUGCCUUAAAGAUAGUAAAAACGGUGGAAAAAAAAAAAAAAAAACCACGAAACAAACAACCCGAGCGCACCGGUAACGCGAUGUACGGACGUCUUCAACGAACUGGCGGAAAAAUAAAGGGGGUAACGUAAGGGGGCCCAGCUCCGGGCACAUCUGACGCGCAGACCCGUGUGCCGCCGUGCGCGUCGGCUGCCGGCUCUGCUCGGCUUCGGGAAGGGAAAGCUGCGGAGCCGCGCGGCCGGGGGCUGCCUGCUGAGCGCAGCGCUGCCGGGGCAGGGAUCCCCGGGGCCGGGGGGAGAGAGCGGCGAGGACCG